CCAACCAAAGGACUUUGGUUAAAGGAGAGAAAGAAUGACACUGGGGUUCAGGGCAAGGUCUCCUGUCCACAUGGUGAUGUGGUUACAGAGGCUUCCAGUGGGAACACACGGACUUCCCGCUCCCAUGCUCCAUCUGCCCACACUUGGUCAUAUCUUUGCUACCUUCCUGGCAUCUGAAGGGUCUAGGAGUCUGAAUGCCAUUAGGGCCGUGUGAAAUGAACUAUCACCCGUGAAGAAUUAGAGCCCGGGUUUGGAAGACUUCCUAUUGACUAACCUGCAGUAUAAUUUAUAAUUAUUUCUGUUUACACACGAGGUGGGGCAGAGAUGCCAAGAGGAAAACUGGCCUGGAGUUCACCUGAAUUUAAUAAAUUAAAUGAAGAAGAAACAAAGGAAAAAUGCUGGAUCUCAGAGCACAUCUCAGAGGCUUACGGGUGUGAUAGUUGUCGAAGGGAACUUGAGCCAGCCACCACCAGAGUCUGGGGUCUGGCUGCAGCAUCUCUGGGAAUGUUCAAGGCAUCAGAAGGGGCUCUACCCACCCCAGAGGUCUUUAAUCCUUGGGCAGUGGCUUCCGGCAAAACAAGAGAACAUUAAGUGUCCGUUACUAAGUCUGUGGUUAAUGUUUCAUACAGUCCAACUCAAAGCAAAUAAAUAUUUCAGCAAAAAGAA